GAACCCAAGCGGCAGCUGCAGACUAAGGCCCCGCGACGGGCCAGCGGUCCCGGGAGUUCUCCUGGUUCAAGGAAACCCGGCAACAACUUGGCAAGACGCGGCCCGGAGGGGAGCGCGGGCCACGUGGGCGCGGGGGGCCGGACGCGCCCGCAGUCACGUGCCCUCUUGGAGUAGCGUCUCCGGUGUCGGUCGGGCUCGGGGCCCCGAGGACCCCGCGCGGCCCGUCCCGGCGGGAAGAUCCCAUCGCUAUGCGCUCUCAGCUUGACCUUGGAGGGUCUGGAAGUGUCCCAGCACCAUGCAGCCUGUCGUGCAGCGUCUCUGGCUGCCUCGUACAGGGGCUCAGCGCUGAAACAUGUACAAACGACUCUAACUGGGACUCACCCUGGAGCACUUCAGGCUGUAUCAAGCCAAACCCAGGACACUGGCAUCUGGCGGCUGACGGGGCUUUCGAAGGCUCAUUAUUCUUUGGGGUUCCUCACCUCGUGUCCCAGGAGCCUCUGGACAAGUGAGGGAGGGGCUCGGGGUCUGUCCUGGCCCAGGCUCUGAGGGUC
ensembl:lncRNA